UACUGUCUUAUGCAUAAUAUACUCAGUGAAAUCAUCGUAAUGUUGUUUAUUGUAUCAGUCUUUAUCCCAUUUGAUCUUUAACUUUUCAUUAGCAAGGUUGAUGAGUUUGUAAAGGCUAAAGUGGAUCCUUUAAUCACUAUAAAUCAGGGGAUGUGUAAAUCCAAGCCCUUCUGGAAGAGAAUCUGGAACAAUGUCAAUAAAUAGAGAGAAUAUUGACAUUAGGAAGGAUAUGCUUAAUAUUGUUAGAGAGUCUAUCUCAAAUGUGCGUGCUCAACAUAAGCAAUCUGACAUGUGGCAACACUUUGAGAAAAUUUUCAAUGAGAGAACCGGCAUAGCAGACAGAACGAAGUGUUCG